UCUCAGGUGUGUCCCAGGUGUCCCUGACUUGUCCAGGUGUGUCCCAGGUGUCUCUCAGGUGUGUCCCAGGUGUCCCUGACUUGUCCAGGUGUGUCUGAGGUGUCCCCAGGUGUGUCCCAGGUGUCCCUCACCUGCCCAGGUGUGUCCCUCACCUGAAGGGGUAGCCGUACGCCGCCGUCACGUUGGUCACCUAUGUCCCGUUGUCCCCAGGUGUGUCCCUCACCUGUCCCACCCCUCUCACCUGUCCCAGGUGUGUCCCCAGGUGUGUCCCUCACCUGAAGGGAUAUCCAUACGCCGCCGUCACAUUCGUCACCUGUGUCCCGUUGUCCCCAGGUGUGUCCCUCACCUGUCCCACCUGUCUCACCUAUCUCACGUGUGUCCCUCACCUGUGUCACCUGUCCCAGGUGUCUCCCAGGUGUAUCUGGGAUGGCCCUCACCCAUCCCACGUGUCCCCAGGUGUGUCCCUCACCUGUCCCACCCAUCUCACCUUUCCAGGUAUGUCCCAGGUGUGUCCCCAGGUGUCUCUCAGGUGUCCCCAGGUGUGUCUCACCUAUCUCAGGUGUGUCCCUCACCUGUCCAGGUGUGUCCCAGGUGUCCUCAGGUGUGUCCCUCACCUGUCUCAUCUGUCCCAAAUGUCCCCAGGUGUAUCUGACGUGUCCCUGGAUCUGUCCCAGUUGUCCCCAGUGUCCCUCACCUGUCCAGGUGUGUCCCCAGGUGUCUCUCAGGUGUGUCCCAGGCGUGUCCCUCACCUGUCUCACCUAUCCCAGGUGUCCCCAACAUGUCCAGGUGUAUCUGAGGUGUCCCCAGGUGUCCCAGUGUCCCUCACCUGUCCAGGUGUGUCCCCAGGUGUGUCCCAGGUGAUGUCACCUGCCCCAGGUGUGUCCCCACAUGUCCCUCACCUGUCCAGGUGUGUCCCCAGGUGUCUCUCAGGUGUGUCGCAGGCGUGUCCCUCACCUGUCUCACCUAUCCCAGGUGUCCCCAUGUGUCCCUCACCUGUCCAGGUGUGUCCCAGGUGUAUCUGAGAUGUCCCUCACCCAUCCCACCUGUCCCCAGGUGUCCCAGUGUCCCUCACCUGUCCCCACCUGUCCCAGGUGUGUCCCUCACCUGAAGGGAUAUCCAUACGCCGCUGUCACAUUGGUCACCUGUGUGCCGUUGUCCCCGCCCGCGCAGGUGUGUCCCUCAUGUCCCCAGGUGAUGUCACCUGUCCCAGGUGUGUCCCCAGGUGUCCCCAGGUGUGUCCCCAGGUGUCUCUCAGGUGUCCCCAGGUGUGUCUCACCUAUCUCAGGUGUGUCCCUCACCUGUCCAGGUGUAUCUGAAGUGUCCCCAGGUGUGUCCCCAGGUGUCCCCAGGUGUGUCAGAGAUGUCCCCAGGUGUGUCCCCACCUGUCCCAGCUGUCCCCCCUCACCUGAAGGGAUAUCCGUAGGCCGCCGUCACGUUGGUCACCUGUGUCGCGUUGUCCCCAUGUGUGUCCCUCACCUGUCCCACCCCUCUCACCUGUCCCAGGUGUGUCCCCAGGUGUGUCAGAGAUGUCCCCAGGUGUGUCAGAGAUGUCCCCAGCUGUCCCCCCUCACCUGAAGGGAUAUCCAUACGCCGCCGUCACAUUCGUCACCUGUGUCCCGUUGUCCCCAGGUGUGUCCCACAUGUCCCAGUGUCCCUCACCUGUCCCCAGGUGUGUCCCCAGGUGUCACCUGUCCCCAGGUGUGUCCCUCACCUGAAGGGAUAUCCAUACGCCGCUGUCACAUUGGUCACCUGUGUCCCGUUGUCCCCAGGUGUGUCCCACGUGUCCCCAGUGUCCCUCACAUGUCCCCAGGUGAUGUCACCUGUCCCAGAUGUCCCCAGGUGUCCCCAGGUGUGUCCCCAGAUGUCCCCAGCUGUCCCCCCUCACCUGAAGGGAUAUCCAUACGCCGCCGUCAUGAUGUGACGUCACAUUGGUCACCUGUGUCCUGUUGUCCCCAGGUGUGUCCCUCACCUGUCCAGGUGUGUCCCAGGUGUAUCUGAGGUGUCCCUCACCCAUCCCACGUGUCCCCAGGUGUGUCCCAGGUGAUGUCACCUGUCCAGGUGUGUCCCCCCCUCACCUGAAGGGAUAUCCAUACGCCGCUGUCACGUUGGUCACCUGUGUCCCGUUGUCCCCAGGUGUGUCCCACAUGUCCCAGUGUCCCUCACCUGUCCCAGGUGUGUCCCAAGUGUGUCCCUCACCUGUCCAGGUGUGUCCCCCAGGUGUCACCUGUCCAGGUGUGUCCCCCCCUCACCUGAAGGGAUAUCCAUACGCCGCCGUCACAUUGGUCACCUGUGUCCCGUUGUCCCCAGGUGUGUCCCACGUGUCCCCAGUGUCCCUCACAUGUCCCCAGGUGAUGUCACCUGUCCCCACCUGUCCCCAGGUGAUUCCCCAGGUGUGUCCCUGACCUGUCCAGGUGUGUCCCCCAGGUGAUGUCACCUGUCCCAGGUGUGUCCCCAGGUGUGUCCCCAGGUGUGUCCCAGUGUCCCCACCUGUCCCAGGUGUGUCCCUCACCUGAAGGGAUAUCCAUACGCCGCCGUCACAUUGGUCACCUGUGUCCCGUUGUCCCCAGGUGUGUCCCCAGGUGUCGCAGUGUCCCCAGGUGAUGUCACCUGUCCCCAGGUGUCCCCAGAUGUCCCCAGGUGUGUCCCCCCCUCACCUGAAGGGGCAGCCGUAGGCCGCCGUCACGUUGGUCACCUGUGUCCCGUUGUCCCCAGGUGUGUCCCACAUGUCCCCAGGUGAUGUCACCUGUCCCAGGUGUGUCCCCAGGUGUCCCCAGGUGAUGUCACCUGUCCCAGGUGUCCCCAGGUGUCGCAGUGUCCCUCACCUGUCCCCAGGUGUGUCCCCAGAUGUCCCCCAGGUGUCCCCAGGUGAUGUCACCUGUCCAGGUGUGUCCCCAGGUGUGUCCCACAUGUCCCCAGGUGAUGUCACCUGUCCAGGUGUGUCCCCCAGGUGAUGUCACCUGUCCCCAGGUGUGUCCCCAGGUGUGUCCCUCACCUGAAGGGAUAUCCAUACGCCGCCGUCAUGUUGGUAACCUGUGUCCCGUUGUCCCCAAGUGUCCCUCACCUGUCUCACCUGUCCCCAGGUGUGUCCCCCAGGUGUCACCUGUCCCAGGUGUCCCCAGGUGUGUCCCUCACCUGAAGGGAUAUCCAUACGCCGCCGUCACGUUGGUCACCUGUGUCCCGUUGUCCCCGCCCCCGCAGGUGACCCUGAAGGUGACGGAGCCCUCGAAGCCCCCGCAGGUGGCGAAAGCGAAGAUGGAGAAAAACUGGGGGGAAAAACGGCAAAUUUGGGCAAAAUCAGAAAAAUAAAUGGGGAAAAAAACCAAAUUUGAGAAAAUUU
ensembl:lncRNA